UUCCACCGUUUCGAAAGCUCUCUAUCUCACAAUCCUUUUUUUUUUUUUUUCACUUUUCUCCUUUGUUUUCGAGUUUCUCUCGAGUAACACACUGUUGCACAUAAACUUCGUACCUCUAAACCCUAGUUCCUCCUUCACCUUCUCUCAUCUUCCCUCAGGUUGAAGAUGGUGUCGGACGCCAGAAAAAAGAAAGCAGCACAGAAGAAGGCGGAUAACGGAGUGGAUAAUGUUUCCGAUGGAGAUAGUGCGCUCCAGAUAUCUGAUCGGACAUGUACUAGUGACCUUUGCUCUCAUCCUGUUUCGAGAGAUAUUCGUAUUGAGUCCUUACCAGUUACUUUCCACGGACAUGAUCUUAUUGUUGAUUCAAUACAGAUUGCGCCACCUCCUGCCAUACCCAACCAAGCUUCAAAUCGAACGGACUUAGCGCGUAUCGCUGACUCCCUCGAAGAUGUGUAUCAUAUUGGCUUCACGCGCCACCGGCCACCCUGCCACCCUGCCACCGACGCUACACCGUCUUACGAUCAAACGAGCUCUUUAACCGGUUGUGUGUCUUAUACUUCAACCACUUUCGAGCUACCUACCGCAGCUUCAAGAGCACCAUUGAAGCAUUUGAUGUGCCAGCUGAAGCUCCCCAAGGCACCACUCAGCUACAGUGUGCAGUAGAUGCUAUAUCUCCUCCUCCUUCUGAUAUUUAUACGUUUCGAUUCGUAAAUCAGUGAAUAAGCUCUCCCACACUACACUCUUGCGGUACUACUCUGUUGAGCGAGAUUACUCUCAAGAUCGCCACGAUCCUUUUCUUCACCAUCUCCUCUCCGUCAUCAAACCCACCCAUCUCUUCGGUUCACUCGAAGAUGUUUUAUUUAUACCUUUAAUUUGUAAUAAUGUUAAUUUUAACAAUGCUGCUAAUCCGUUCAGCAUCGCUAGAUUUAUAAUGAAUGACGCUUUAGUCCAGGGUCUACUUGAUUGCAUGGAUGCGAAGAACUCCAAAUGGCGUACUGUCCCGCUACCCCACGAGACACUUGGACGUCCAUUCUGGCUCCUGGACUGGAGGCUGAAUCAGGCUUAUGCUUGGUUCCCGCAAGAAGGUCACUUCUCCAAAGAGGACCUCAUUGCUGCCCAAAUCCUUGGAAUUCCCUGCACUCCAAGACUUGGUCCAUGCGAAGUAGACGAUUGGCAAUUCUUUGCAGGCAAUGCCCUCCCUGCCCAACUCAAUGUCGCAAAUUACAAAAGGGCCACUCCCCGCCGCUUUUACGGCGCUGCUGAGUAUCACACUAUCGCUCACUGACAAUGGCUUGUACCACAAGCUAUCAUCGAAGGAUGUGCACAUGCUGGUUCUAAGCGACCCCAGCCCGAACCAUCAUCAAGCUCAGGUGGAACCGGACAUAUGGAAAUUACUCCAGCCGUUGAACCUCAACAGCAACAACAACAGUAGCCACCCACUCCUCCAAGGCUAACAAGCUUUUACCAGUAUCAGCUCACUGACUGGUGUUACCAUGGACUCGUGGUUUUCAGGCUCAGCGAACAGAAACAGAAUGAAGCUUUUCGCUCCUUUCUUUUCACAGGCUCUGACGCUAUGGCUUGCUUGGAUUAAAUGGUUGUGGGGAAUCCACAUUGCUUGCUGCUAUAGAAUUGCCUGAACUUCCGGUUCCAGAGCACAUGGAUAUCUAUCAUCUCACAAGGGAGAUUGAAGCUUCUGAUAUGUCCGCAUUGGAGGCUGUCAUAAGUUGUGACGAGGAGAGGUUAAAAUUGGAGAAAGAAGCAGAAAUAUUGGCAGCAUAGGUUUAUUCAGCUAACCGAGUAUUAUACUUAUGCUAGACGAUGUUCUUCAAUAACAUACAUUGUAACACUCUUUUAGGAUGAUGGUGAUGGGGAGCAACUCGAACGUAUCUAUGAGAGGUUGGAUGCCAUGGAUGCAUCAACUGCUGAGAAACUUGCUGCUGAAAUUUUAUUUGGUCUCGGUUUUAACAAGAUGAUGCAGGAAAAGAAAACUCGACUUGGAAAUGUCUGCCCUCUAGUAUAUGAUAAAGGAAUACCCUGGAAAUGAGGAAGAGCGGAUG